rnacentral:rRNA from 1 species
AGAGUUUGAUCAUGGCUCAGAUUGAACGCUGGCGGCAUGCCUUACACAUGCAAGUCGAACGGCAGCAUGAUCUAGCUUGCUAGAUUGAUGGCGAGUGGCGAACGGGUGAGUAAUACAUCGGAACGUGCCCUGUAGUGGGGGAUAACUAGUCGAAAGAUUAGCUAAUACCGCAUACGACCUGAGGGUGAAAGUGGGGGACCGCAAGGCCUCAUGCUAUAGGAGCGGCCGAUGUCUGAUUAGCUAGUUGGUGAGGUAAAGGCUCACCAAGGCGACGAUCAGUAGCUGGUCUGAGAGGACGAUCAGCCACACUGGGACUGAGACACGGCCCAGACUCCUACGGGAGGCAGCAGUGGGGAAUUUUGGACAAUGGGCGAAAGCCUGAUCCAGCAAUGCCGCGUGUGUGAAGAAGGCCUUCGGGUUGUAAAGCACUUUUGUCCGGAAAGAAAUGGCUCUGGUUAAUACCUGGGGUCGAUGACGGUACCGGAAGAAUAAGGACCGGCUAACUACGUGCCAGCAGCCGCGGUAAUACGUAGGGUCCAAGCGUUAAUCGGAAUUACUGGGCGUAAAGCGUGCGCAGGCGGUUGUGCAAGACCGAUGUGAAAUCCCCGAGCUUAACUUGGGAAUUGCAUUGGUGACUGCACGGCUAGAGUGUGUCAGAGGGGGGUAGAAUUACACGUGUAGCAGUGAAAUGCGUAGAGAUGUGGAGGAAUACCGAUGGCGAAGGCAGCCCC